GGGAAUCCGGUGAGAAUCCGGAACGGUCGCGCCACUGUGAUCGCCUUCGGCGAGAGUCAGACC
rnacentral:ncRNA from 2 species